rnacentral:rRNA from 1 species
UACGGAGGGUGCAAGCGUUGUCCGGAUUUAUUGGGUUUAAAGGGUGCGUAGGCGGCCCGUUAAGUCAGCGGUGAAAUCCCGGGGCUCAACCCCGGAACUGCCGUUGAUACUGGCGGGCUUGAGUUCGGUCGAGGCGGGCGGAACUGGCGGUGUAGCGGUGAAAUGCUUAGAUACCGCCAAGAACCCCGAUUGCGUAGGCAGGUCGCUUGGCCGAAACUGACGCUGAGGCACGAAAGCGUGGGGAGCGAACAGG